CCUACGGGAGGCAGCAGUGGGGAAUAUUGGGCAAUGGGCGCAAGCCUGACCCAGCAACGCCGCGUGAAGGAAGAAGGCUCUCGGGUUGUAAACUUCUUUUUACAGGGAAGAGUAGAAGACGGUACCUGUCGAAUAAGCCACGGCUAACUACGUGCCAGCAGCCGCGGUAAUACGUAGGUGGCAAGCGUUGUCCGGAUUUAGUGGGUGUAAAGGGCGUGUAGAUGGGUUGUCAAGUCAGUUGUGAAAUCUUGCGGCUUAACCGCAGAACUGCAAUUGAAACUGUUGGUCUUGAGUACUGGAGAGGCAGACGGAAUUCGUGGUGUAGCGGUGAAAUGCGUAGAUAUUAGGAGGAACACCGGUGGCGAAGGCGGUCUGCUAAACAGCCACUGACAGUGAGGCGCGAAAGUGUGGGGAGCAAACAGGAUUAGAUACCCCAGUAGUC
rnacentral:rRNA from 1 species